AGUAGCUGGGAUUACAGAAAGUUCCAGCCAUUCAGAAGGUGAGCAGAGGCCCUAACACUGCAAAGAACGCAUCUCCUGCUGGCGAUUUCUCCAGUCUGCUGUCCAUUUCUGAGAAUGUUCUGUAAGAUACGGCCUUUUUCUCUCACCCAGGAUGGAGUGUGGUAGUGCAACUGUAGCUCCCAGCAGCCUCAAACUCCUGGGUUCAAGUGAUCCUCCAGCCUCAGCCUCUUGAGUAGCUAGGAUUACAGGUGUGCACUGCUACAUGCAGCUAUUUUUAAAUUUUUUUUGUAGAGACAGGAGU